AUUUUUUUAAUUUUUUGAAAAUUAUUUAUUUAACUUUUUAUGCUGCGUGAUUGCCAUUUUUGUUAUUUGAUGUUUGUAUGAUCUCUAAAACAAGCAUGGCAAAGCCUACGAGGAACAAGAAACCUGUAGACUUCAUAUUUUGGUGAUUUUGAAGAUGAAGAUGAAGAUUUUGCCUGUGUAAAAGCACCUCCUAGCAAAAAGCCUCGAGUGGCUCCCAAAGAACCAGACCGACAGAAAAAGCUGAAGACAGUGAACAAGCCCCCCUGUUCAGGAGUGUGGUGGAUCUCUGGGGAAACCUUGUGAGCAAAGAUUACUUGUGGAUGACAGGCUUUAUGAAAGGGAUUUGGAGGCUGCAUUAGCUUUGUCAAUGCUGCAGACAAUUGAAGAAAACUUUGCAGUCAGUCUACCAAAAGAGAGAGACAUUGGUUCAGAGAGCGUGUCAAAGAGGUGGAUGUUGAAGGGUUCACAGUUAAAAAGGGGCGAAAGUGAAAGAAAACGAGGAGGCCAAAUCAAAAGCACAAAGUUCAAAGAAAGAAAAAUCCAGGCUCUGUGUGACAGUGACACCUGCAGCUGCAAGUCCAGCUCCCACCACAUCUAAUCCCAUGUUGAUGAAGCCCUCGAACGCGACUCUCCCAGCAUACAAACCUGUCCAGGUUCAGAGCCCAUCCGGUGCCAGGAAGCCCAAGUGGACCCCACCUGCGCAAAUUAGAAGAAGCCCAAAUGCCUCUGAAACUGUGGCAGUAAAAUCUCCAAGCCAAGGCCUCCGACCUGGACUGUCCCGGUUUGCCAGAGUGAAGCCAUUGCACCCAGGAGCAGCCAGUGACUAAACUCCUUUUAGCCUGGGCCCUCCUUCAAGAACCCUUUUUCUGUAGCGUGUUUGUGUUUUUUUUUUAAAAUACCACUAUGAACAAGUUGAUGAAUAUGUAUGGGAGUUCACAGAAGACAUUUGUAUAUGGGCAGCAAUAUUUGUAACAAUAUUUUUAUAUACUACUUUCAGAAUUUAGAAUUUUGGUUGACGUUUUUAAAACUAUGUUAGAGCGGGCUGUUUUGUUUGUUUGUUUUUUCUGCCUUUUAACUGAGUGGCAGUAAGCAUCAGCCUAUGUACAGACUGGGGUCCAGAUCAAACCAUGAAAACGUGUAUUUACUUUUAAAUAUUUAUGCCCCACCUCAGAAGGUGGAGGUUAUUUAUCGUUUUGUAAUAUUUUCUUUUUGGGUGGGAUGUGUCAUCUCUAACUAAUGAAAGUGCAAAAUGGGUAUGAUUAAUGGAAUUAUUACUGCAAAUGAAGAGAAUAGUGUUGUUGUCUGAGGAGUCUAGUUGCAAACCUUAGCUCGGCAACUAUGCUUUGAAAUUGGGUCGUCCUUGGCAAAUUAUCUUCAGUGCCUCAGUGCCAUUCAGCUGUAAAAUGGGAGGCACACAACACAAAGCACAAUUAAGAGGUGCACCUGCAUAUAAUAAUUUCAGCUUGGACGCAUAUUUUUAUAAAAAUUGAGCAAAGUACUUUGGGUACUACUUUGUUGUCAUAGAGCAAAUGUAAGUUGUUUCAGGCAUUUCAGUAUGACAAAUCAAAUACAUAUAGUAAUUUAUAUAACUGAUAUAAUUGAAGUUUGCACAGUUUUCAUCCCGAAUGUGCUUAACCCCUAGGUUUUGUGACAGGCCCCUCUAUACUAAAUUGUGUCAGUCUGACCCCUAAAGAAAUACGAUGAAUUUGAGCUCUGAUCACAUUGCAGCACAGUCAAAUACUGGCUUGUGCUCUUCCCGAUCAUCAUGAGCAGGGUUUGCAGAAUUAGCGUUCAGAAUGGUGCCAGGCAGAAGAGGAUACCCAGUGAUUUAAUUUUGAAGCACAGGCAAGCUUUCUGAAAGGCAUACUACAACUUAAAUGGUUUACUAUGCUCAAGAGACAACUCAUUGCAGGUAGAAGCAGUUAAUUUGUUGUACAGGAGGUUUUUUUUUAUGGUUUUAAACUG